ACGAACGCUGGCGGCGUGCCUAAUACAUGCAAGUCGAACGGUCUUUCUAUGGAAGCUUGCUUCCACUGAGAAGAUAGUGGCGGACGGGUGAGUAACACGUGGGUAACCUGCCCAUAAGAGGGGGAUAACAUCCGGAAACGGGUGCUAAUACCGCAUAGUUUUCUUGAUCGCAUGAUUGAGAAAGGAAAGACGGCCUUUGUGCUGUCGCUUAUGGAUGGACCCGCGGCGUAUUAGUUAGUUGGUGAGGUAAUGGCUCACCAAGACGAUGAUACGUAGCCGACCUGAGAGGGUGAUCGGCCACAUUGGGACUGAGACACGGCCCAAACUCCUACGGGAGGCAGCAGUAGGGAAUCUUCCGCAAUGGACGAAAGUCUGACGGAGCAACGCCGCGUGAGUGAAGAAAGGUUUUCGGAUCGUAAAACUCUGUUGUCAGAGAAGAACAAGUUGGAGAGUAACUGCUCCAGCCUUGACGGUAUCUGACCAGAAAGCCACGGCUAACUACGUGCCAGCCGCAGC
rnacentral:rRNA from 1 species